rnacentral:lncRNA from 1 species
UUUCUUUAUAUUCCCUUGGUAUAUGUCCAGUAGGGGCUUGCACUCGCGUUUCAUAAAAAAGCAAAUGCAAUUGGAAUUUGCUUGUCCUCAGAAAAUGUGAUAUGUUCACGAACAAUGUAGUGCGCCAAAGGCUUCCCAUAAAAACAACUUAUUCUCAAAAUCUCAUAAAAGCCAGUCUUAUUUUUCUACUACUUACACGAAACCAGAAAAGGCGGCUCAUCCUGGCUCAUCCCCCUCCCAAAUGAUAAAAGACGCAUGUGCCCUUAGCCUUUUGCAAAAAAAAAUUACAAGGAUUUUUCCAUGUUGCUCUGUCUUUCAACUCUCAAGGUGGCGGCGCACCUGAUCCUCGCCGAGACACCAACGGCCGGUGGGUGUGUGCAACAUGGGACCUGCGGAUGCCGGACGGAGCGGAUGUGUGUUGGCAUAGGUCGAAGCUGAGCGGGGCGGCAGACGGCACGGGAUGGAGGUGCAGAGCUUGCUUCCCAGGCCACGCGACAGUCCCAGGUGACGCGAGCCACGACGACCGUGUGAACACCUCUGGCUAUCAGCCCUGUGAGCUCCUCUGAUAGUCGGCUGCGCGAGCAUCUUGGUGGGCGAGCUGGAGGUCAACGGCUGCUACACAUUCAUCGUCACUUGCAAGAGUCUAGAGGAUAAGGCACGCCUGGUAAAAAAGAUAAAAGAG